rnacentral:rRNA from 1 species
UACGAAGGGAGCUAGCGUUGUUCGGAAUCACUGGGCGUAAAGCGCACGUAGGCGGAUGUGUCAGUCAGGGGUGAAAUCCCGGGGCUCAACCUCGGAACUGCCUUUGAUACUGUCGAUCUGGAGUAUGGAAGAGGUGAGUGGAAUUCCGAGUGUAGAGGUGAAAUUCGUAGAUAUUCGGAGGAACACCAGUGGCGAAGGCGGCUCACUGGUCCAUUACUGACGCUGAGGUGCGAAAGCGUGGGGAGCAAACAGG